rnacentral:rRNA from 1 species
GGCAAACUGGUGAGUAACGCGUGGGUAACCUGCCCUAAACCUGGGGAUAACACUGCGAAAGUGGUGCUAAUACCGAAUGUGAUCCUGAUGUACUUCAGGAUUAAAGGAGGCCUCUUCUUGAAAGCUUCCGGUUUUGGAUGGGCCUGCGUCCUAUUAGCUUGUUGGUAAGGUAACGGCUUACCAAGGCAACGAUGGGUACCCGGGCUGAGAGGCUGGUCGGGCACAUUGGGACUGAGACACUGCCCAA